rnacentral:rRNA from 1 species
GGGGAAUAUUGCACAAUGGGGGAAACCCUGAUGCAGCGACGCCGCGUGAGUGAAGAAGUAUUUCGGUAUGUAAAGCUCUAUCAGCAGGGAAGAUAAUGACAGUACCUGACUAAGAAGCCCCGGCUAACUACGUGCCAGCAGCCGCGGUAAUACGUAGGGGGCAAGCGUUAUCCGGAUUUACUGGGUGUAAAGGGAGCGUAGACGGAGUGGCAAGUCUGAAGUGAAAACCCUGGGCUCAACCCUGGGACUGCUUUGGAAACUGUUAAUCUAGAGUGUUGGAGAGGUAAGUGGAAUUCCUGGUGUAGCGGUGAAAUGCGUAGAUAUCAGGAAGAACACCGGAGGCGAAGGCGGCUUACUGGACAAUAACUGACGUUGAGGCUCGAAAGCGUGGGGAUCAAACAGGAUUAGAUACCCUGGUAGUCCACGCUGUAAACGAUGAAUACUAGGUGUCGGGGAGCAAAGCUUCUCGGUGCCGUCGCAAACGCAAUAAGUAUUCCACCUGGGGAGUACGUUCGCAAGAAUG